CCAGGAAGUAACAAGACAAUGUCUGACAGCUAGGGAGUUGUAACAAGGUUUAUUCAAAAAGAUCCAAUUUCUUUUGAAAACUGGAAAGAACACUCUUUACACACACACACAACAUUUCAGCCAGCUAUAGUUCUCUAGAGGCCCCUUUAAAUUUAAAACUCACUUUGAAUUUCAAGCAAUUCUCACUUUACUGAAUAAACCUGUGUAUGUAUUUUUUUUUUUUGUCAAAAUGUAGCAAAAUAAACCAUUUAUAUUGCCAUGUGUUGCAAUGUCCAUUUUCACAUUAUGACAGUUGAUGUGAAUACACAUCUUUCAUAAAGUGCAAAAGAUGGCUAUGGAAUCUUAUGGCACAUGUGGCAGAUCACCUAUAGUAGCCCACAGUCUUGCCUUGGACCCUCAGUUUGCCGUGUACCUGCAUGGCAAUAUGAAAUCUUCUGGCAGAACUAGCCUACAGGAGCAUAGCCAGGCCAAAGAAGGUGGUGGUAGCACCGAGGACAGAACAAGGUUCAGGUAGGUAUCUCUUUUCCAUCUCUCCUCACAAGCAGAAGUGUGCACAGAGAAAUGGUCCACUAAGUACAAUAUUUUCCACGACUGCAUCACUGCCAUAAAUUGUUCAGCUGUGAGAGAGACAACCAAAAUCCUCCAAUUUGAUCGAAUAAUCACUAAGUUUUCUAUGAUCCUUGUACCUCUUCUUUCUCGGCUUUAAAGAACCUGACUAUUCGUAAGGGAAACCAAUUAGUUUUUUUUGUGCACAGCUAUUUUUUUCUGUAGUAUUUUCAGUGUGUCACAUGAAAUCACAUGCUCUUGCAGUGAUCAGGUUCACAGAAGCAUAUUUGGAAUCCCAAAAAUAAACAUUCCAAGCCAGAUAAUACCAAAAAUAGCGUUACCAGCUGCAGAUUCCCAGAUAGGAUUUGGAGAAAUUGCAUUGGGGGGCGAGGGGAGGAAAUCUUAGAGAACACAAAGUGAGGUUAUAAUUAACAGCUAAUCACAUUAAUAGUACACACAUUUUCUGUUUUAUGAAGGGAUGAUUCAAGUACCAUAACCUUUCUUUUUUGCAAACAUGCCCCCUUCUAUGUGCGUGUGUAAUAUGUAUAUUUUAUGUUUAGUGCACAGCAUUAACGUUCCUGCUUCCUUUGGCAAGCUGACCAAUUUUUUUUUUUACGUCUUCAUGCAUUCAUCUACAUAGUGAGUUAAAUGUUAGGGGAAUUCUCCAUUUAAACCAUCUAUGCAAAUUCUACGGCAUUAAUUAGAUUUGGG